UUGGGGAGGCAGCCCCGGCUAACUACGUUCCAUCCGCAGCUGUCAUACGUAAGGGGCUAGCGUGAUCCGGAUUUACUGUGCGUAAAGGGUGUGUAGGCGGUCUUUCAAGUCAGGAGUGAAAGGCUACGGCUCAACCGUAGUAAGCUCUUGAAACUGGGAGACUUGAGUGCAUGAGAGGAGAGUGGAAUUCCUAGUGUAGCGGUGAAAUGCGUAGAUAUUAGGAGGAACACCAGUUGCGAAGGCGGCUCUCUGUACUGUAACUGACGCUGACGCACGAAAGAGUGGGGAUCACACAGGAGUAGAUACCCUGGUAGUCCACGCUGGAAAAGGUGAGUACAAGGUGUCCGGGGUUACCCCCCUCGGUGCCGCAGCUAACGCAUUAAGUACUCCGCCUGGGAAGGCCGGCCG
rnacentral:rRNA from 1 species